AUUUAGGAAAGUUUAAAACAAGCAUGAAAACAGUGGUCAGCAAAAAAUGAGACUUCCCCCUUUC